rnacentral:rRNA from 1 species
CGGGCGGCUGCAGUCAAGAAUCUUCCCCAAUGCGCGAAAGCGUGAGGGAGCGACGCCGCGUGUCCGAUGAAGCCCUUCGGGGUGUAAAAGACUUUUCUCUGGGACGAACUAAUGACGGUACCAGAGGAAUAAGAGGUUGCUAACUCUGUGCCAGCAGCAGCGGUAAUACAGAGACCUCAAGCGUUAUCCGGAUUUAUUGGGCGUAAAGGGUUCCGUAGGCGGUUUGUUAAGUCAAUGGUUAAAUCCUUCGGCUCAACCGAAGAACCGCCAUUGAAACUAACAAACUUGAGACCGGGAGAGGCAAGCGGAAUUGCCGGUGUAGUAGUAAAAUGCGUUAAUAUCGGCAAGAACACCAAAGGCGAAGGCAGCUUGCUAGAACGGUUCUGACGCUAAGGGACGAAAGCGUGGGUAGCGAAUGGGAUUAGAUACCCCGGUAGUC